rnacentral:rRNA from 1 species
GACGAACGCUGGCGGCGUGCUUAACACAUGCAAGUCGAACGGAAAGGCCCUGCUUUUGUGGGGUGCUCGAGUGGCGAACGGGUGAGUAACACGUGAGUAACCUGCCCUUGACUUUGGGAUAACUUCAGGAAACUGGGGCUAAUACCGGAUAGGAGCUCCUGCUGCACGGUGGGGGUUGGAAAGUUUCGGCGGUUGGGGAUGGACUCGCGGCUUAUCAGCUUGUUGGUGGGGUAGUGGCUUACCAAGGCUUUGACGGGUAGCCGGCCUGAGAGGGUGACCGGCCACAUUGGGACUGAGAUAGGGCCCAGACGCCUACGGGAGGCAGCAGUGGGGAAUAUUGCAGAAUGGGGGGAAGCCUGAGGCAGCGACGCCGCGUGCGGGAUGACGGCCUUCGGGUUGUAAACCGCUUUGGCCUGUGACGAAGCGUGAGUGACGGUAAUGGGUAAAGAAGCACCGGCUAACUACGUG